rnacentral:tRNA from 1 species
GGUUCGGUGUUGGAAUUGGUAGACAAUGUGGAUUUAAAAUCCAUUGGGCGCAAGCCCGUGCGGGUUCAAGUCCCGCCCGAACCA